UGCUUUAAUUUCCUGGCUAAGGGAGUGCAUUACAUGCGCAGUGGCUGGGAACAAAUGCAAUCAAAUCCGGCAAGCACAGAGAAGGGCUGAACUGCUCGUCCCUUAUUGCUCAGCUGGGAGAACUACUGACUGACUGGUGAGAGUCCCUUUGGGGCCUCCCUCAGCUACAAAAGGCUGCUUUCUAAGGAUAUGUUUUUCACAGAAUAGACUCCAACCAUGACUAAUCCAUGAGGAAGCAUAGAGGCCUGGCCAUAUUUGGCCCAACUUGGGACAACUCUAAAGGACCACUGUGGCUCUGAGAGCCAACAUAUUGUUAGCUGAGACUGUCAUCAGGUCUGCAUAACCACUUGACUUCUCUGUCUGCCCAAUUGUGCUUCAUUGUUUUCUUCCACUGCUGAACUCUGACUCAGUUUGCUUCCAAGGAAAUUUAAUCUGUGACAAGUGAUUUGAUAUUGCUUUUUCUGUAAAGGGUUUCUUCUGGCUGCUGUCAGGAGAGAAGGCAAGAUAGAAGCAGGGAGAUUUGCUAAGAGGCUACUGCCAUGAUCCAGAUGGAAGAGGACAGAUGCUUAGGCUAGAACGGCAGCAGAGAAGAAGAAAGCAAGUAGGUAUAUUCUAGAUACAGAUGUUUGACUUAGGAUGGAGUUACACCCCAAUAAACUAAUCAUAAAUUGAAAUAUUUGUGUCAGAAGUACAUAUAAUGCACCUUACCUACUGAAAAGCAUAGCUUGGUAACACAGCACCUGUAGAGCACCAGUUGUUUACCCUUGUGAUGGUGUGGCUGACUGGAGGCUUAAGCUCACUCACUGUCUUUGCCCACCAUCAUGAGACAGUACCAUACUAAAUAUUGCUAGCCUAGGAAAAGAUAAAAAUUCAAAAUAUGUCUUCCACUGGAUGAGUAUCACUUUCAUACCAUUGUAAAAUCAAAAAUCAUAAUCAAACCAUCAUAAUCAGGACUGUCUAGAUAUAAGGAUUUGUUAGUAGAUCAAUGUAAGGAGAUUUGGAUGAUUCCAAAGUUUUUGGCCUGAGAAACUGAAUAACAAACUUGUUAUUUUCCAAGAAAGAGAUAAUGCAGAAAUGAAAAGCAGUUUCAGAUCUGCUAGGCUUUGCAUGCCUAUUAUUCAGCCACUUGUAGAUGUCAAGUGGAUAGCUGCACACUGUGAAUCUGAAUUGCAAAUAAAAAAGGCAUCUUCUGAGCUAGGCACAGUGACUCAUGCCUAUAAUCCCAGCAGUUUGGGAGGCAGAAGCAGGAGGAUUGCAAGUUCAAAGCCAGUCUUCGCAACUCAGUUAGGCCCUCAGCAACUUAGUGAGAUCCUGUCUCAAAAGUAAAAUAAUAAAAUGGGCUGGGGAUGUGGCUCAGUGGUUAAGUGCCCCUGAGUUCAAUCCCUGGUACCAAAAAAGAAAAGUAUCCUCUGGAGGAAUAAUCAGCUCAAAGACAUUACUCAAAGCUGUGGAACUGAAUGAGAUGAUGUGCUACGGAGGGUUGCUAGCAAAGCCCCACCGAUGACUCAUUCAGGGGUUGAGAUGAGGCAAUGAGGAGGAUUCAGCCAAGAAGACAAAGAAGGAGAGGUCAGCCAAGAAGAUAAAGAAGGAGAAGAAAAGGAGAAAGAUAGUUCCAAGAGUACAAGAAUGUGUUUCAAAGCAGAUGGUAUGAUCAACUGCGUCACACGCUACUGAGUGUUGAAUAAGGUGAAGAUUGAACACUAAUGCUAGAUUUAAAAGCCCUCUCAAUAAAAACAGAUGGUAUGUCCCUGAAGUAUA